CAUAGGUUUGGUCCCAGCCUUCCUGUUAACUCUUAAUAAACUUACACAUGCAAGCAUCUACACCCCAGUGAGAAUGCCCUCUAGGUUAUUAAAACUAAGAGGAGCUGGCAUCAAGCACACACCCUGUAGCUCACGACGCCUUGCUUAACCACACCCCCACGGGAAACAGCAGUGACAAAAAUUAAGCCAUAAACGAAAGUUUGACUAAGUUAUAUUAAUUAGGGUUGGUAAAUCUCGUGCCAGCC
rnacentral:rRNA from 1 species